AAAUGGUCCACACGUAAAUGAAUGCUUGAUGUACAACAAAGGUGCACUGCAGGUCAGCGGGAGAAAAAAGUCUUUCCAAUAAGUGGCGCUAGGACAAUUGCGUACCAUGCUGGAAAAAGAAGAAAUUGAACUCCUAACUCACACAAAAGUCAAUUCCAGAGUUGAAUGGAACUGAUAUAAACAAUAGGCCGCCGAGUGACUAGUUGGUCAUCUGAAGGAAGAAUACCAAUAAGAAAAGGUCUUUCUUUCAUGAAACAGGUCAUGGAGAACUGAAAGCUCAUGGUGUGUUCAGAGAACAGCUAGCAGAGGAGAGGAGGAAAGAAGAGAAGGAAGGAAGAAGAUCAAGCUGAAAUGGCUGGCCAUGGUGGCUACAACUGGAGCAGCCAUUUGGGUGGUGAGGUGAGUUCAAGAUGGAAGCCAAGCACAACCUAGAAGGACCCUGACUCCCUGACACCAUGGUUUGCCAUACAGGACCUGGACUGAUUCCCUCUGGAACUUUAUCUGAGAGAAAUAAACUUCUGU
rnacentral:lncRNA from 1 species